CAGUCGAGCGGUAAGGCCUUUCGGGGUACACGAGCGGCGAACGGGUGAGUAACACGUGGGUGAUCUGCCCUGCACUUCGGGAUAAGCCUGGGAAACUGGGUCUAAUACCGGAUAUGACCUCCUAUCGCAUGGUGGGUGGUGGAAAGAUUUAUCGGUGCAGGAUGGGCCCGCGGCCUAUCAGCUUGUUGGUGGGGUAAUGGCCUACCAAGGCGACGACGGGUAGCCGACCUGAGAGGGUGACCGGCCACACUGGGACUGAGACACGGCCCAGACUCCUACGGGAGGCAGCAGUGGGGAAUAUUGCACAAUGGGCGAAAGCCUGAUGCAGCGACGCCGCGUGAGGGAUGACGGCCUUCGGGUUGUAAACCUCUUUCAGCAGGGACGAAGCGCAAGUGACNGUACCUGCAGAAGAAGCACCGGCUAACUACGUGCCAGCAGCCGCGGUAAUACGUAGGGUGCAAGCGUUGUCCGGAAUUACUGGGCGUAAAGANUUCGUANGCGGUUUGUCGCGUCGUUUGUGAAAACCAGCAGCUCAACUGCUGGUUUGCAGGCGAUACGGCCACACUUGAAUACUGCAGGGGAGAGUGGAAUUCCUGGNGUGCGGAUGAUAUGCGAAGAUAUCAGGAGGAACACCGGUGGNGGAGGCGUAUCUCUGGACACUAACUGACGCUGAGAACACAUGCACGGAUUGCGAACCUGAUUAGAGACCGCGUUAGUCCCACCGUAAUUGUAGGCCCUAGUUGUCCGCGCCUUACNCGAAAUCCGUACCUUUGCAGAAGCCUUAACCCCGACUGGGGAAUACAGCCAUUAGGUUNAACGCGAAGGAAUGGGGCGCCCGUACAAGCUGCAAUGAAUUGACUUGAUCCGACAGGAAAGAACAUSCCUUUAUUCGAAUAGACCGGAAAGCUUCAGAGCUUSCCCUUGUGGUGGGCAUUCAGAUGUUGCAU
rnacentral:rRNA from 1 species